AUGUUGGCCAUCCGUCUGGGGGUGGUACGCUGUGGAGUAGAGGAGCUUGGUGCCUGCGCCGGCGAGCAGUUCGCGCCACAGCGCACUGGUGAAGAUCUUGUCGCGGUCGCUGACGAUGGAUUUGGGGAUGCCGUGGAGCUUGACGACGUUGUCCCAGAACACGCGCGCCACCUGUGUCGCCGUGAACGGGUGCCGCAAGGGCACGAAGUGAGCGAACUUGGUGAAGCGGUCAACAACCACCAUGAUUGUAUCGUAACCUUCGGACUUGGGCAGUCCUUCGACGAAGUCCAUGGUCAGCUCUUGCCAGGGUGCGGAGGGGAUCGGCAGAGGUGCCAGUUUGCCCGCGGGCUUGCGAAGUUCAGGCUUGGCUUGCUGGCAAACCUGGCACUGGCGCACGAAUUCGUCGACAUCUGGUUUCAGUCCCUUCCACUCGAAAACUUUCUUGACUCGGUGGUAGGUGGCCGUUGCUCCGGAGUGGCCGCCCACGGCGCUGUCGUGCAUCGCGCUGAUGAGCUUAGUGCGCAGAGCGGUGUUUGCGCCAAUCCACAGCCGGCCCUGACGCCGAAUGAGGCCCCGGUACAGCUCGUACUCGUCAUCAUCUGGGCUGUGCAGUGCAAGCUGUUGCAGCCGUUCUUGCGCGUCCGGAUCAGUGGCGUAGGAAUUGGCCACCUCUUGGAUCCACGCGGGCUGACACAGGGACAGAGCGUUGGCGCUGAAGUGGCUGCCCACGCGGGAGAGCGCGUCCGCAGCUCCAUUGUCGAUGCCGCACUUGUACUGAAACUUGAACUGCAGCCCGACAAGCUUCGACAUUGCGCGGCGUUGGACGUCAGUCACCAGUUGUUGAUCGCCCAGCGUGCACAAGCUCUUGUGGCCGGUGAGGAUGGUGAACGGCCCGCGCUGCAGGCGUGCUGCGCGGAUUCGGGCCACUCGAAUCCUUUCUUGGUGAGCUGCAGUGUGAGGGGCUUGGCGAUGAUCCCAUAG
rnacentral:rRNA from 1 species